UGGGGAAUCUUGCGCAAUGGGCGAAAGCCUGACGCAGCAACGCCGCGUGCGGGAUGAAGGCCUUCGGGUUGUAAACCGCUUUCAGCGGGGAAGAAAUUGACGGUACCUGCAGAAGAAGCCCCGGCCAACUACGUG
rnacentral:rRNA from 1 species